ensembl:snoRNA U8 U8 small nucleolar RNA
UCAUCAGGCAGGAUAAUCCUUACUUGAUCCUCCUUUUGGAGGGCAGAUAGAAAAUAAUGGCUGGGUUCGUGAUUAGCAUCUCUGUGUAAUCAGGACUUGCACUACCCUGAUUGUUCCUAUUUAAU